GAGUCUUUGACGCAAGUUGCGCCCGAGGCCACUCGGCCGAGGGCACGCCUGCCUGGGCGUCACGCCAAAACACGCUCCCAACCACCCUCAACGGGAUUCGGGAUGCGGCAUCUGGUCCCUCGUCUCUCAAGGGACGGUGGACCGAAGAUUGGGCUGCCGGCGUACCGCGCCGGACACAGCGCAUGGUGGGCGUCCUCGCUUUAUCAAUGCAGUGCAUCCGGCGCGCAGCUGGCAUUAUGGCCUUUGAACGACCCAACAAACGAAGCGCACGUCGCUUCGACCGCGACCCCAGGUCAGGCGGGACUACCCGCUGAGUUUAAGCAUAUAAAUAAGCGGAGGAGAAGAAACUUACAAGGAUUCCCCUAGUAACGGCGAGCGAACCGGGAGCAGCCCAGCUUGAGAAUCGGGCGGCUGUGCCGUCCGAAUUGUAGCG
rnacentral:rRNA from 1 species